UGAACGCUGGUGGCGUGCCUAACACAUGCAAGUCGAGCGAUUCUCUUCGGAGAAGAGCGGCGGACGGGUGAGUAACGCGUGGGUAACCUGCCCUGUACACACGGAUAACAUACCGAAAGGUAUGCUAAUACGGGAUAAUAUGUUUUGAUCGCAUGGUCGAAAUAUCAAAGCUCCGGCGGUACAGGAUGGACCCGCGUCUGAUUAGCUAGUUGGUGAGGUAAUGGCUCACCAAGGCGACGAUCAGUAGCCGACCUGAGAGGGUGAUCGGCCACAUUGGAACUGAGACACGGUCCAAACUCCUACGGGAGGCAGCAGUGGGGAAUAUUGCACAAUGGGCGAAAGCCUGAUGCAAGCAACGCCGCGUGAGCGAUGAAGGCCUUCGGGUCGUAAAGCUCUGUCCUCAAGGAAGAUAAUGACGGUACUUGAGGAGGAAGCCCCGGCUAACUACGUGCCAGCCGCUGC
rnacentral:rRNA from 1 species